rnacentral:rRNA from 1 species
UGGCGGACGGGUGAGUAACACGUGGGUAACCUGCCUCAUACAGGGGAGUAACAGUUAGAAAUGACUGCUAAUACCGCAUAAGACCACAGCACCGCAUGGUGCAGGGGUAAAAACUCCGGUGGUAUGAGAUGGACCCGCGUCUGAUUAGGUAGUUGGUGGGGUAACGGCCUACCAAGCCGACGAUCAGUAGCCGACCUGAGAGGGUGACCGGCCACAUUGGGACUGAGACACGGCCCAA